rnacentral:lncRNA from 1 species
AAUCCUAAUUAGUGAUACUACAUCUCUUAUUUUCCCUUCAUCAGAAAGCACAUCUGCGACAACUGUGGAAACUUCUCCCCCAUCUGAAACACCAUCAACAGAUACCACACCUGCAACAACUGUGAGCAGUUCUACCAUCACUACAGUACUAACAACGGAUGGAAACGUAUCGACAACAACUGAGAACACUACUGCUGACAAUUCUUCAUCAGCAACACCAGGUAAUUAUGAAACGUCCCUUCAUCAGCCCUUUAGGGCAGGGUUACACC